rnacentral:rRNA from 1 species
UACAGAGGGUGCAAGCGUUAAUCGGAAUUAUUGGGCGUAAAGCGCAUGUAGGUGGGUAUUUAAGUCGGAUGUGAAAGCCCCGGGCUCAACCUGGGAAAGCCAUUCGAUACUGAAUAUCUAGAGUAUGGUAGAGGGAAGUGGAAUUUCCGGUGUAGCGGUGAAAUGCGUAGAUAUCGGAAAGAACACCAGUGGCGAAGGCGGCUUCCUGGAUCAAUACUGACACUAAAGUGCGAAAGCGUGGGGAGCAAACAGG